GCGGCAAUAGCUCAUUGAUAGAUCCCCCGCUUCGCGUGCGGAGAGACCCGGGUUCGAUUCCCGGCUGCUUCC
rnacentral:tRNA from 1 species